GGCCUUGUGGCGCAACGUACGUUCAUUUCACCAUCCAUCCGGAUGAAUUCUUCGCUAACAACUCCAAACAGGGUAGCGCGUUCGACUCCAGAUCGAAAGGUUAUCCGUUCAAAUCGGGUCAGGGUCA